AUGGUUCCUUGCCUGCUCCCUUCCUCCUGGGCGUUCUGUUCCUCACGGUAUUUAGCCUUGCCACCUCCGAUUUGUCCAUGUGCAGGUUUAUGCUUUCUGUUCUGCAUUCCCUUUCCACGAGUUCUUGCCUUCAACGCUGAGCUGAAAUGGCUCUUCCCAUACUUGUCUGUAAGCUAUUUGAUGAAAUGCGGUACUUUUUCUUCAGUUUUAUUCCUAUUGCCGAGUCUUACUCCUCUUGUUGAUCUUGCCUGCUUUUCUCGUCGGUCUCGCAUUUGUAGCUCAGGUGAAUGGCCUCUCGACUAA
rnacentral:rRNA from 1 species